rnacentral:rRNA from 1 species
GAUGAACGCUGGCGGCGUGCCUAAUACAUGCAAGUCGAGCGAACAGAUGAGAAGCUUGCUUCUCUGAUGUUAGCGGCGGACGGGUGAGUAACACGUGGGUAACCUACCUAUAAGACUGGGAUAACUCCGGGAAACCGGGGCUAAUACCGGAUAAUAUUUUGAACCGCAUGGUUCAAUAGUGAAAGACGGUUUCGGCUGUCACUUAUAGAUGGACCCGCGCCGUAUUAGCUAGUUGGUAAGGUAACGGCUUACCAAGGCGACGAUACGUAGCCGACCUGAGAGGGUGAUCGGCCACACUGGAACUGAGAUACGGUCCAGACUCCUACGGGAGGCAGCAGUAGGGAAUCUUCCGCAAUGGGCGAAAGCCUGACGGAGCAACGCCGCGUGAGUGAUGAAGGUCUUCGGAUCGUAAAACUCUGUUGUUAGGGAAGAACAAAUUUGUUAGUAACUGAACAGGUCUUGACGGUACCUAACCAGAAAGCCACGGCUAACUACGUGCCAGCAGCCGCCGUAA